UACGGAGGGUGCGAGCGUUGUCCGGAAUCACUGGGCGUAAAGGGCGCGUAGGCGGCAUGCCAAGCGUGUGGUGAAAGCCCGGGGCUCAACCCCGGGUCGGCCGUGCGGACUGGCGUGCUUGAGCACUGUAGGGGCGGGUGGAAUUCCGGGUGUAGCGGUGGAAUGCGUAGAGAUGGGGGAGAACACUCGUGGCGAAGGCGGCCAGCUAGACCAGUUCUGACACUGAGGCGCGACAGCGUGGGGAGCAAACAGG
rnacentral:rRNA from 1 species